GAUGAAGAACGUAGCGAAUUGCGAUAUGUAAUGUGAAUUGCAGAAUUCAGUGAAUCAUCGAAUCUUUGAACGCACAUUGCGCCCGCCAGUAUUCUGGCGGGCAUGCCUGUUCGAGCGUCAUUUCAACCAUCAAGCCCUGCUUGCGUUGGGGUCCUGCGGCUGCCCGCAGGCCCUGAAAACCAGUGGCGGGCUCGCUAGUCACACCGAGCGCAGUAAUACAUCUCGCUUUGGGCGUGCGGCGGGUUCUUGCCGUUAAACACCCCCUUUUUACCAAGGUUGACCUCGGAUCAGGUAGGAAUACCCGCUGAACUUAAGCAUAUCAAUAAGCGGAGGA
rnacentral:misc_RNA from 1 species